rnacentral:hammerhead_ribozyme from 1 species
AACUGACAAGUCCCAAAUAGGACGAAACGCACGUCCU